GCCCUCAUGGUGGAACUGGCAGACACGCACGGUUCAGGGCCGUGUGGCCGCAAGGCUGUAGAGGUUCAAAUCCUCUUGAGGGCACCA
rnacentral:tRNA from 1 species